rnacentral:misc_RNA from 1 species
GCAAACUUGGUCAUUUAGAGGAAGUAAAAGUCGUAACAAGGUUUCCGUAGGUGAACCUGCGGAAGGAUCAUUAUUGAAUUAUAAAACUUGGUCUAGUUACUGUUGCUGGCUCCCUAGGGAGCAUGUGCACGUUUCUAUUCCGACUUUUUAAAUUCUUACCCACCUGUGCACUCUGUGUAGAUCUUUUUUGAAAAUGAACCCCCCCUCUCGAGUUUGCAAUAUAACUCGGAUUAGAAGAAUUGCUUGUCAGGCUUUUCUUCAAUUUAUUUUCUAAAAAAGAUCUAUGUCAUUAUCCAUAUAACCCAAGUCUUAGAAUGUUUUUGGAUGCGUAUACAAUAUAAUAUACAACUUUCAACAACGGAUCUCUUGGCUCUCGCAUCGAUGAAGAACGCAGC